rnacentral:rRNA from 1 species
AACGAACGCUGGCGGCAUGCCUAACACAUGCAAGUCGAACGAGACCUUCGGGUCUAGUGGCGCACGGGUGCGUAACGCGUUGGAACCUGCCCUUAGGUUCGGAAUAACUCCCCGAAAGGGGUGCUAAUACCGGAUAAUGUCUUCGGACCAAAGAUUUAUCGCCUUUGGAUGGGCCCGCGUUGGAUUAGCUAGUUGGUAGGGUAAAAGCCUACCAAGGCGACGAUCCAUAGCUGGUCUGAGAGGAUGAUCAGCCACACUGGGACUGAGACACGGCCCAGAAUGCGACGGGAGGGAGCAGUGGGGUAUAUUGGACGAGGGGCGAAAGCGUGAUCCAGCAAUGCCGCGGAAGUGAUGAAGGCCUUAGGGUUGUAAAGCUCUUUUAGCCGGGAUGAUAAUGACAGUACCGGGAGAAUAAGCGCCGGCUAACUCCGUG